rnacentral:rRNA from 1 species
UACGAAGGGGGCUAGCGUUGCUCGGAAUCACUGGGCGUAAAGCGCACGUAGGCGGACUCUUAAGUCGGUGGUGAAAUCCUGGAGCUCAACUCCAGAACUGCCUUUGAUACUGGCGAUCUCGAGUCCGGGAGAGGUGAGUGGAACUGCGAGUGUAGAGGUGAAAUUCGUAGAUAUUCGCAAGAACACCAGUGGCGAAGGCGGCUCACUGGCCCGGUACUGACGCUGAGGUGCGAAAGCGUGGGGAGCAAACAGG